UGGAUUACUCUGUAAUACUAUUUGAUACAGCUCCUACUGGUCAUACACUUUGGUUAUUGCAAUUUCCAUCAUUAGAGAAGGGGCUUGCUAAAAUGAUGUCCUUAAAAAAUAAAUUUGGUGGUUUAUUAAAUCAGAUGACCCGUCUCUUAUUUGGUGUGGACGAUGUAUUUGGUGAGGAUGCACUUCUGGGAAGGCUUGAGGGCAUGAAAGAUGUGAUUGAACAAGUGACUAAGCAAUUCAAGGACCCAACUUGGACCAUUCACCAACACCUCAAGGAUUUUUAAACCUUCCUGGGCGUGCCUGUGAACAAAAGAAAAAGACAACAAGACCAAAAAGGGCUCUGGGAUGUGCUGUACAGAAAAAUUAGAGGGUGUCGUGGCAGCUAAAUCAGCUACAGUUCAAUAGUUGACAAUUAUUUUGUUUCUCAAUCAUGGAUUCAAAAGCUGUCUGAUAAUCACAAUGAAUGUCUCUAGCAUUUGCAAGAUUAGUCUGCUUUCAACUGUACCAGCUCCUGGAAGCAAAUUCAAACCAUCAAUAACAUGCAGAACCGCAAUUUGGAGUGGGAAGUUGCAACUUAACAUGAGCUAAUACCAACUUUGGCUUGCAGAAAACAUCUGAAACAUUCUGUAAAUGUAACAUAGGUUUAUAAGGCAAAAAAUCCAUUUUCUUAGUACCUUGUCUAUUUGUAUUUUGAUUGUAUUCUUAGAUGGGGUCAUUUAGAGAUUGAUUUCAUCUCGUUGCUAUUGAUGAUACCAAGAGUGUAUAAUUCUUUUUUACUAAUCUCUGGAAAUUCCAGCCUCUGCUCUUUUUCAA